rnacentral:lncRNA from 1 species
ACAAUUAAGGUAGUAUAUUAUUAUUAUUAUUAUUAAAUAGAGUAGUUAUUACAAACAAAUAGUACAUACUCAAUAGUUACUUUAAUAGCCGCCCACGUUAAUGACAAUUGACAACCCUAAACGUAAUUAAACAACCCAUGCAAGAAACCUUUGUUUCAAGUAAAAGUGACCGUAUCCCGACGACCCAAGUAAGGUUCAACUGUCUGAUGUUGACCGCUCAAGAAUUGAUUGUUUUCGGGUUAACCUCCCACCAAAUGGAGCCUACACGACAUAGUGGUCGUGCACAACGCAAUGGCAACGCGAACAAAAUCCAAGAAGACAAUUGACCUAGCUAACCGUUGUUAUAUAUGUGAUCACUUGGAAGUAUGCGUGGAUGGACAAGUAGAUAAUAAUGAUAGAAAAAGAAGAUGGUGCAAAUUUAUUAUAGCAUAUGGUAUAUGCCAAAACUAAUUCCAUUAGGGUGUACAUCGAAUUAAUUAGCAACGUGUUUAGUUACGCUAAUUAUUUAGUAAAAAUAAACGUUAUAUUAUUAAUUACUACAUAAGGACACUUGACAAUAGUUUAACUAAUAGUCGUCCACGUUCAUGACAAUCCCGACACUUCAACGACAUCGUCCCGUGGAGAUUCAGCUAGAAAUCUUGACUUCUCUAAUCGAUUUGAGAUCUACAAAAUUUACCUUUAAUAUCUAAUUACAAAUCUGUAACAAAUCAAUACCAAUAAAUUAAAAGAAUAUUCCUAUGUGUCAUAUAUAGUCUAAUAAAUAUAUUUUUUUCAAAUUAUUUAUAUCAAACCCUUAGCAGCAGUUAUACGAGUUUCUCAAACACCAAAUCCAUUAUAGUUAUUAGUUAAGCUAGCUAAUAUACGGUAAAGAGAUAGAUCAGAAAGUAUGAUGUUAUGCACACCAAUCGGUAAUUCGAGUGCUAAGCUAGUUAAUAUGAGUAAUUUCGAUCUCUCAUACUCUUAACAACUACAAAGCUAUUAAUCAAAAACAACUACCAAGCUAUUAAAAGCCCUCUUACUCUUGUAACGGCCUGUAAGAGACAUAUUCUCGAGUUAAUACUUGAUACUAUAUAAGCAAAGAGCCUUAACUCCAUGUUACAUUGGAACAAACCCCCCUACCUCUUGCAGCUGUUUGUCCCAUUUCCGAAUUAAAACUAAAGAAUCUGAGUGGAAAAUCACUGAUUCGGAAAGGAAUUAGUUUUCGAGAUAUAUAUAUAUAUAUAUCCACCUCCAUCCUAAUAUAGGUUAAGCAAGCAUCGCAACUUGCUCUUGAAUAUUGCAAAUACAAAUUAUCCACAUAUCCGCUGUAACAAUAGAUCGGAAUAAUGCAAAUCAAACCCACGUAACUAAAUGACAAGUAACCCUAAAAACAAAACCAAAAUGGCAACUACCGAAGAAAGAUGAGUUGUAAAAAUGAGAGAGCUUAAUUAUGACUUAAGAAAUCAACGGGGGCAUGCAUGCACGUGCCGGCAGACAGGUAGGGGGUGGGUGGAUCGCGUGGGAUUCGCAUCGCCGGCAAGAAUAAACCGGCUGACGUGGACGAAAGAUGAGGAACGGCGGAAGCUGAGCUGGAAUGAGUGGCCCUUCGACGCAGCCAAAAGUCGGUCGGAGUUCUUACGGUGGUAACGUUGUGUUAUAAACUAAUGUUUUCCGGAGUGAAAUGCGGCGGUGUGUCGCCGCCGCUGGCAGUGUUGUUGGGGGAAAUGAUAAUAUAAAAGAAAAAGAAAGACUAGUACCGAGGUAGUAAUUACUUCGUCGAGUCGGCGAGUAUGUGGAUUUUUGUAGUUUUA